CGUCACCAUUCCAGGUAAAAUCAUCAGUGAGCCUCCGGUGAAGCGCUGGAGUUCGGUCCCGCUUUCUAUUCAAGUGUUUCGGUUUCCUUGGGUUGGUGAUGUCAUUUCCUGUUCUUUCUCUCAGAGGAUGGGAGAUGGAUUUGGAGCCAAUGUGUCCUCCCUGGUGUAGUUUGUGUAUGGAAUGAACUGCCAGAGGCUAUUAUACUCACAGUAUUUAAAAGUCACCUGCAUGGACACAUGAAUAGGAAGGGUCUGGAGGGAUAUGGGCAACAUGCUGGCAAAUGGAACUAGUCAGUUACGAUAUCUGGUCGGCCUGAAGGGUCUGUUUCCCUGCUGUACAACUCUGCGACUCUGUCUCUUUGUCUCCCCCUUCCCCUCUCUCAUUUGCUCCAGACCCACCCCCAACCACACACACAAUCUCUGUCUCUCCAUCUCUGUGUGUGUGCGCCUCACUCUCUGUCUGUCUGUGUCUCUCUCUCUCUCUCUCGCUGUGCACUUCUCUGUCUCUCUCCUUCUCUUUCACUGUCUCUUUGGUCUUUGUGUGUGUGUGCCCCUCUCUGUCUCUGCCUCCCUCUGUGUGUGCUUCUGCCUUUCUCUCUCUCCGUCGACCCCCCACCCACUCUGCGCCGCCCCUCCCCCCGCCUUUUCCUCCAUCUCUCUUACUCUCUAGCCGAGCCUCUCCACCCGCUCAGCAGGGAGCGUUGUGAGUUUCUUUCGAACAAAGUUUAAAGAUCUCUGUUUGAACCCAACCCAUCCGCAAUCAGACUGCAUUUCUAAUCCCCCUCUCUCUCUCUCUCUCACACUCACACACACACACAGUCUGUCUCUUUCUCCCUUUCAGUCAAUCCCCUUCCUCUCCUGGUCCUACUCACGCCUUUUCCCACCCCCCGACUCUGCCUCGGCGAUGAGUCCGCUGUCUGGAUCCCUUUACCCAGGAGUGGGCUGAGGACCCAGCGGUUCGGCAGCGGGGAUCAUCGCACCACGCGCCUGGACCCCUACAACCUCCUGUUCUCCAGCGGCCUCCAGCAUGACCACCGGGCUAGGAGCAGGCAUCCGGGCUGCCGGAGCGCUCGCUGCUCAGUGGCUCAGCCCUGCGCCGCCUUUGCCGGGAGCGGGGAUCCGAGGUGGGAGAAGGCCUCUUCGCCCGGCUCCUGGGCACAGCUACCUGCCUGAACAGCUGCCUGGCACCGAGCCUGCGCUCCCCGAGCACCCGGCCUAGGGUCCGCGACGCCUUCCGGGGCUGAGUAGCCGAAAACUAUCUCCUACUGCAAGUCUUUUCCAGUCCCAUGCUGAGUAUUGUUAUCCCAAUAGUUCUUUAAUGUCAGUGUGUGUGUAUUCCUGGGCGACUAUGCUCGUGUGGUCUACGGAGUUGUGGAGGUCACAGUUCUAGGACAGCCAUUUCAUAGGCCUCUGCUGCAGAAUCUACUCCGGAAGAGAGAGCCCAGAGAAUUGCCAAAGCUGUCUGCAAGCAGUCAAUUGACGUGAAGGAAAAUUGGGAGCAAUUGAAAACCCAUGCGAGCAACUGGCAGAACAAGGUGGAAAAGGCGUUAGAGAAACUUCAAGAACUGCAGAAAGCUCUGGAUGAUCUUGAGUCUCAUGUGAUAACAGCUGAGGGGGUCCACAUUGAUUGGCAACCUGUGAAUGACCUGUUUAUUGACGCAUUGCAGGAUCACAUGGAUAAAACCACAGACUAAAGGUGAAGUCUGACCACGCCAUUUGGCCACUCCUUAGAGAGACACAACUGGUUAUGAUUUAACCUGAAGAUCACCAUGCCUCGGGCAAGUAAAGGGGUUGAGGCGAAGAUCCUUUGUGGUUAAGGACUGCCUGCAAAAUCUGAGACUGGGUUUUGAAACACAUCAACCUUUGCUUGCGAGAGAUAAUGGUAACUGCAGAUGCUAGAGAAUGCGAGAUAACAAUGUGUGGAGCUGGAUGAACACAGCAGGCCAAGCAGCAUCUCAGGAGCACAAAAGUUGACAUUUCGGGCCUCGACCCUUCAUGCGAGAGAACGUAACGUUUUUAAAGAAGAAAUUGCCCCAGUCAAACAAGAAGUCAAAAUAUUAAAUGAUCUGGGAUGUCAGUUAUCUCCGCUUGAUGUCUCUUUCUCUCCAAAGAUUUCUCACCAGCUUGAUGACCUAAAUAUGAGGUUGAAAUUUAUACAGGUGAUUUAAACACCGUGCGUUUUUCUGCAUAUCGGCCAGCAAUGAAGAUCCGCCGACUCCAGAAAGCGCUCUGUUACCACAUCAGGUGAAGAUGUGUGUGAUUUCACCAAGGUGCUGAAAAAUAACUUCAGAUCAAAGAAAUACUUUGCCAAACAUCCUUGCUUGGGUUAUUUACCACUACAAACAGUCCUAGAAGACAACAUCAGGUGAAGAUGUGCGUGAUUUCACCAAGGAGCUGAAAAAUAACUUCAGAUCAAAGAAAUACUUUGCCAAACAUCCUCGCUUGGGUUAUUUACCACUACAAACAGUCCUAGAAGACAAGGAAAUAUUAGUGAUGCAAUGAAGAGUUUGAUGAUAAAAUAUAAUUACUGUUACGGUUUCCUCUUGGAGGAAAUAUUCUCAUCAAAUUGACUGGUCAAGGAAAUGGGACACUGACUGUGAGUACUUUGAGUGUUUAAGUGAUUCCUAAAAUGAAAAUUAUGACCUUGAUUUCUCUUGCAUGCAGAUAUGAAGAGACUAUUUUAAAAAUCCUCUCGGUUCGUGGUUCAGGCAUAAAGGUGUCACAUGUAUAUUUAUGUAUAUACAUGUACAUGUGUAAUCUGAAAAGAAAAUGACGAUAAAUCACUUGU